rnacentral:rRNA from 1 species
UGGCGGACGGGUGAGUAAUGUCUGGGAAACUGCCCGAUGGAGGGGGAUAACUACUGGAAACGGUAGCUAAUACCGCAUAACGUCGCAAGACCAAAGAGGGGACCUUCGGGCCUCUUGCUAUCGGAUGUGCCCAGAUGGGAUUAGCUAGUAGGUGGGGUAACGGCUCACCUAGGCGACGAUCCCUAGCUGGUCUGAGAGGAUGACCAGCCACACUGGAACUGAGACACGGCCCAG